AUCCGUUCCUGCCUCAAGUCCCAGCUGACUUCCCUAGAUGAUGGACUGUGAGCUGUAGGAUCAGACAAGUCCUUCCAUCCCCAUUCUGACUGGUCAUGGUCACGGCGUUCCAUCACAGCAAUAGAAACCCGAGGACAACACGUCAUACAAUAACAGCAAACAUACUGAAAGUUCAGAUGCUCACAGAAGAGGAAGUAGAGGACCUCAGAUGCCCUAUUCAAUUUACCCAUGACAGAAAAACAGCUGGGCAGGUUUUUGGCUCCUGUCUGACCCUUCUAAGAACCCACUGCUGACUGUUGGAAGCCUGACUAAUCUUGUUGGCUUGACAUCGUGCAAGGGAGGGAAACUGGACCCAAGGCUGGUGCAAGCCAGGCAAACCCUGUGCCAUGGGGCUUUCAUUCCAGACAAAAGUAUUUCUUAUCUGACUAGGUUCAUUUAUUUUAUGUGAAUGAAUGUUCGGCCUACAUGGAUGUGGGUGUAUGUGACUGGUUGCCCGCAGAGGUCAGAAGAAGGCCUUCAAUCUCCUGGAAGUGGAGUUAUGGACAGUUCUGAGUCACCGUGUGGGUACUGAGAAGUGAAUAUGGGCACUCUGCAAGAGCAACACGUGCUCCAUUCUGCUGAACUCUCUCUACAGUCCUCUGCUUUGUGUUUUUAGAGCAGGAUCUAUAGGGGCUCAGAGGUUAAGAGCACUGGCUGUUGUUCCAGACGUUCUGAGUUCCAAGCAACUACAUCCUGGCUCAAUAACCAUCUAUAAUGAGAUCUGGUGCCCUCUUCUGGUGUGUAGGCAUACAUAUAGGCAGACUACUAUAUACACAGCAAAUAAAAUAAAUCUAAAAAAAAAAAAAAAAACCAAAAGCACAAUAAUACAGGAUCUACAUUUUCCAAUCUCAGUAUACCCAUCUCUUGUCUGCUAGGAGGUGGCACAGAUAAAGGAGAGAUGCCCUCCUCCCAUUAUUCACCCCUCACCACCCAAGGCAGGUGGGAGAAUUGGCCCUGGGGUCAUGAGAGUGGGAGAACUGGCCAUGUCUCUCACAGGCUGCAACACUCAGGAGAGAAAGCCCUGCACCUCUCCUGGGCAGUAGGGUAGAGCUGGACAUGGUUGCAUAGGCUGCUUCUGAGUUGGCCCUGAGGGCAUGAGAGAUGGGGAGCCAUUGGGCUUAACAGCUCAGAUAAUACUCAGGCUCAGAUCCAGGCCUUUGAAUUGACCCAGCCCAACAUCUGCCCCAUUUAUGAACUGCUGGAGUGCAUGAAGGGGCCAGUCCAAGAGAUCAAAACUAUAGGAUCUCCAUGAUACAGGGCAAUAUCAGCAUAUCCAAGAGGAGCCCCAAAAGUGAGGUUUCAUUAUUGAUAGAGUACCAGAGGCCAGAGGUUUCUUACCUGACCAAGGAGCCAUUGCAAUGAACAUUUGCAAGCAAAUAACCAAAAGGGUAUAUUGUGGAACAUACUGUGACACUGGGACAUACUAUGGCUUCCACAAAGAUAGGGUUUUUCUGUUUUGUUUUUUGUUUUCCUGUUUUUAUUGUUUUUUUUUUAUCUGUUGGGAGGUGGGAAAGUGGUUGCAAGAUUAAAGGAUAGGUACAAGGAGAGGGGGAGUGGUGGUGUCUUAGGGUUUCAUUACUGUGAAGAGGCACCAUGACUAAGGCAACUCUUAUAGAGGAAAACGUUUAAUUGAGGCUGGUUUACAGUCUUAGUGGUUCACUCCAUUAUCAUAAUGGCAGGAAGCAUGGCGGCAUGCAGGCAGACAUGAUGCUGAAGGAGCCAAGAGCUCUUCAUCUUGUUCCAAAGGCAGCCAGAAGGAGACUCUUCUGCAGGCAGCCCUGAGGUGGGUCUAUUCCACACUGGACAGAGCUUGAGUACUAGGAGACCUCAAAGCCUUCCUACACAGUGAUACACUUCCUCCAACAAGGCCAUACCUUUCCAAUAAGGCCACACCUCCUAAUAGUGUCAUUUCCCAUGGGCCAAGCAUCUUCAAACCACCGCCUAUGGGAUUGGGGCGGGGGUAUGAUGUGAAAUGCACAAAGAACCA